AAUUUUGGACAAUGGGGGCAACCCUGAUCCAGCCAUCCCGCGUGUGCGAUGAAGGCCUUCGGGUUGUAAAGCACUUUUGGCAGGGAAGACAAGGCUCUGGCUAAUACCUGGCGCUGCUGACGGUCCCUGCAGAAUAAGCACGGGACAACCAAGGCACAGCCGCCGGGGUAAUACGAGGGGUGCGAGCGUUAAUCGGAAUUAAUGGGCGUAAAGCGUGCGCAGGCGGUUCGGCAAGAAGGAUGUGAAAUCCCAGGGCUUAACCUUGGAACUGCAUUCUUAACUGCCGGGCUAGAGUAUGGCAGAGGGGGGUAGAAUUCCGCGGGUAGCAGUGAAAUGCGUAGAGAUGCGGAGGAAUACCGAUGGCGAAGGCAGCCCCCUGGGAUAAUACUGAUGCUCAUGCACGAAAGCGUGGGGAGCAAAC
rnacentral:rRNA from 1 species